rnacentral:rRNA from 1 species
AGAGUUUGAUCAUGGCUCAGGACGAACGCUGGCGGCGUGCUUAACACAUGCAAGUCGAGCGGAAAGGCCCUUCGGGGUACUCGAGCGGCGAACGGGUGAGUAACACGUGAGCAACCUGCCCUAGGCUUUGGGAUAACCCCGGGAAACCGGGGCUAAUACCGAAUAGGACUGCUGGUCGCAUGACUGGUGGUGGAAAGUUUUUCGGCCUGGGAUGGGCUCGCGGCCUAUCAGCUUGUUGGUGGGGUGAUGGCCUACCAAGGCGACGACGGGUAGCCGGCCUGAGAGGGCGACCGGCCACACUGGGACUAAGACACGGCCCAGACUCCUACGGGAGGCAGCAGUGGGGAAUAUUGCACAAUGGGCGGAAGCCUGAUGCAGCGACGCCGCGUGAGGGAUGACGGCCUUCGGGUUGUAAACCUCUUUCAGCAGGGACGAAGCGCGAGUGACGGUACCUGCAGAAGAAGCGCCGGCCAACUACGUGCCAGCAGCCGCGGUAAGACGUAGGGCGCGAGCGUUGUCCGGAUUUAUUGGGCGUAAAAAGCUCGUAGGCGGCUUGUCGCGUCGACCGUGAAAACUUGGGGCUCAACCCCAAGCCUGCGGUCGAUACGGGCAGGCUAGAGUUCGGUAGGGGAGACUGGAAUUCCUGGUGUAGCGGUGAAAUGCGCAGAUAUCAGGAGGAACACCGGUGGCGAAGGCGGGUCUCUGGGCCGAUACUGACGCUG